rnacentral:rRNA from 1 species
CCUACGGGUGGCAGCAGUGGGGGAUAUUGCACAAUGGGGGAAACCCUGAUGCAGCGAUGCCGCGUGAAUGAAGACGGCCUUCGGGUUAUAAAGUUCUGUCGCAGGGGACGAAAAUGACGGUACGCUGCAAGAAAGCCCUGGAUAACAACGGGCCAGAAGCCGGGGUAAAACGUAGGGAGCAAGCGUUGUCCGGAAUGACUGGGUGUAAAGGGAGCGUAGGCGGGAGGGUAAGUUGAAUGUGAAAUCUAUGGGUUCAACCCAUAGCUGCGUUCAAAACUGUUCUUCUUGAGUGAAGUAGAGGCAGGCGGAAUUCCUAGUGUAGCGGUGAAAUGCGUAGAUAUUAGGAGGAACACCAGUGGCGAAGGCGGCCUGCUGGGCUUUUACUGACGCUGAGGCUCGAAAGCGUGGGUAGCAAACAGGAUUAGAUACCCUGGUAGUC